CCAGAGCCCUAUGGCAUACAGAAGGACCUGGGGAGAGGGGUUGGGAUGUAGCCCUGACACACAGACCCGAGAGGAAGAUGUUUAUGCAUGCUCUGUGUGUGUGAGAGGAAGAUGUGUAUGCAUGCUCUGUGUGAGAAGGUGUUUAUGCAUGCUCUGUGUGUGAGAGAGGAAGAUGUGUAUGCAUGCUCUGUGUGUGUGAGAGGAAGGUGUUUAUGCAUGCUCUGUGUGUGUGAGAGGAAGGUGUUUAUGCAUGCUCUGUGUGUGAGAGGAAGGUGUUUAUGCAUGCUCUGUGUGUGUGUGUGAGAGGAAGGUGUGUAUGCAUGCUCUGUGUGUGUGUGUGAGAGGAAGGUGUUUAUGCAUGCUCUGUGUGUGUGUGUGAGAGGAAGAUGUGUAUGCAUGCUCUGUGUGUGAGAGGAAGGUGUUUAUGCAUGCUCUGUGUGUGUGUGAGAGGAAGGUGUUUAUGCAUGCUCUGUGUGUGAGAGAGGAAGGUGUUUAUGCAUGCUCUGUGUGUGAGAGGAAGGUGUUUAUGCAUGCUCUGUGUGAGAGAGGAAGGUGUUUAUGCAUGCUCUGUGUGAGAGAGAGGAAGGUGUUUAUGCAUGCUCUGUGUGUGAGAGGAAGGUGUUUAUGCAUGCUCUGUGUGUGAGAGAGGAAGGUGUUUAUGCAUGCUCUGUGUGUGAGAGGAAGGUGUUUAUGCAUGCUCUGUGUGUGUGAGAGGAAGGUGUUUAUGCAUGCUCUGUGUGUGAGAGGAAGGUGUUUAUGCAUGCUCUGUGUGUGUGAGAGGAAGAUGUGUAUGCAUGCUCUGUGUGUGUGAGAGGAAGAUGUGUAUGCAUGCUCUGUGUGUGUGUGUGAGAGGAAGGUGUUUAUGCAUGCUC
rnacentral:lncRNA from 1 species